rfam:Picea glauca, whole genome shotgun sequence.
UGGAGAUUCCCGAAUAGGUUAACCUUUUUAACUACUACUGAAUCCAUGGGCAGGCAAGAGACAACCUGGCGAACUGAAACAUCUUAGUAGCCAGAGGAAUAGAAAGAAAAAGUGAUUCCCGUAGUAGCGGAGAGUGAAAUAGGAGCAGCCUAAACCAUGAAAACGGGGUUGUGGGAGAGCACAAUAAAAUCUCUGUGCUGCUAGGAGAAGCGGUUGAGUCCUGCACCCUAGAUGGUGAGAGUCUAGUAGCCAAAAGCAUCAUUGGGUUACGCUCUAACCCGAGUAGCAUGGGGCACGUGGAAUCUCGUGUGAAUUAGCAAGGACUACCUUGCAAGGCUAAAUACUCCUGGGUGACCGAUAACGAAGGAGUACCGUGAGGGAAAGGUGAAAAGAACCCCCAUCGGGGAGUGAAAUAGAACUUGAAAUCGUAAGCUCCCAAGCAGUGGGAGGAAAAUGAUAUCUAUGACCGUGUGCUUGUUGAAGAAUGAGCCGGCGACUUAUAGGCAGUGGCUUGGUUAAGGGAACCCACCGAAGCCAUAGCGAGAGCGAGUCUUCAUGGGGAAAUUGUUACUGCUUAUGGACCCGAACCUGGGUGAUCUAUCCAUGACUAGGAUGAAUCUUGGGUGAAACUAAGUGGAGGUCCAAACCGACUGAUGUUGAAAAAUCAACGGAUGAGUCGUGGUUAGGGGUGAAAUUCCACUCGAACCCAGAGCUAGCUGGUUUUCCCCGAAAUGCGUUGAGGUACAACAGUUAACUGGACCAUCUAGGGGUAAAGAACUAUUUCGGUACGGGCCAUGAGAGCGGUACCAAAUUGAGGCAAACUCUGAAUACUAGAUUGCUCCAAUAAAAGGGGUAAAGGUCAGCCAGUGAGAUGAUGGGGGAUAAGCUUCAUCGUCGAGAGGGAAAUAGCCCAUAUCAUCAGCUAAGGCCCCUAAAUGACCGCUCAGUGAUGAAGGAAGUACGAGUGCAAAGACAGCCAGGAGGUUUGCCUAGAAGCAGCCAACCUUGAAAGAGUGCGUAAUAGCUCACUGAUCGAGCGCUCUUGCAUCAAAUAUGAACGGGACUAAGUGAUUUGUCGAAGCUGUGGGAUGUAAAAAUACAUCGGUAGGGGAGCGUUUCGCCUCAAAGGGAAGAACUGGCACGAGCAGGUGUGGAUGAAGCGGAAGAGAGAAUGUCAACUUGAGUAACGCAAACAUUGGUGAGAAUCCAAUGCCCUGAAAACCUAAGGGUUCCUCUGCAAGGUUCGUCCACGGAGGGUGAUUCAGGGCCUAAGAUCAGGUCGAAAGGCGUAGUCGAUGGACAACAGGUUAAUAUUCCUCUACUACCCCUUGUUGGUCCCGAGGGACAGAGGAGGCUAGGUUAGCCGAAAGAUGGUUAUCGGUUCAAGGACGCAAGGUGACCCUACUUUUUUCAGGGUAAUUAGGGGUAGAGAAAAUGCCUCGAGCCAAUGUCCGAGUACCAAGCACUAUAGCGCUGAAGUAACCCAUGCCAUACUCCCAGGAAAAGCUCGAAUGACCUUUAACAAACAGGUACCUAUACCCGAAACCGACACAGGUAGGUAGGUAGAGAAUACCUAGGUGCGCGAGACAACUCUCUCUAAGGAACUCGACAAAAUAGCCCCGUAACUUCGGGAUAAGGGGUUCCUCCUCAGGAGGUCGUAGUGACCAGGCCCGGGCGACUGUUUACCAAAAACACAGGUAUCCACAAAUUCGUAAUACCAUGUAUGGGGGCUGACGCCUGCCCAGUGUCGGAAGGUUAAGGAAGUUAGUGACCUGAUGAUGGGGAAGCUAGAAACCAAAGCCCUGGUGAAUGGCGGCCAUAACUAUAACGGUCCUAAGGUAGCGAAAUUCCUUGUCGGGUAAGUUCCGACCCGCACGAAAGGCGUAACGAUCUGGGCACUGUCUCGGAGAGAGACUCGGUGAAAUAG